UACGUAGGGAGCGAGCGUUGUCCGGAAUUACUGGGUGUAAAGGGAGUGUAGGCGGGAAAACAAGUCAGGUGUGAAAUUUAUGGGCUCAACCCAUAAACUGCACUUGAAACUGUUUUUCUUGAGUGAAGUAGAGGUUGGCGGAAUUCCUAGUGUAGCGGUGAAAUGCGUAGAUAUUAGGAGGAACACCAGUGGCGAAGGCGGCCAACUGGGCUUUUACUGACGCUGAGGCUCGAAAGCGUGGGGAGCAAACAGG
rnacentral:rRNA from 1 species